rnacentral:misc_RNA from 1 species
GAAAUGCGAUAAGUAAUGUGAAUUGCAGAAUUCAGUGAAUCAUCGAAUCUUUGAACGCACCUUGCGCUCCUUGGUAUUCCGAGGAGCAUGCCUGUUUGAGUGUCAUGGAAUUCUCAACUCUAUUUGCUUUUGUGAAUAGAGCUUGGAUUUGGAGGUUUAUUGCUGGUACUUGUGAUCGGCUCCUCUUGAAUGCAUUAGCUCGAACCUUUGCGGAUCAGCUAUCGGUGUGAUAAUUGUCUACGCCGUUGCAGUGAAGC